CUCAAUUAAAACCGAAUACAGGGUGGUCGUCAUUCGCAUGUCGACCAUGAGGCAGCGGCCAUUUUAGAUCGCACGAAAGACCAGCGGUGUUCGGCAUUGAAUUCAUGGAACUAAAAACGGACACUUUUUCUGCCGAACACCGCUGAAACAACGGGUCACCCUUCUCCGUCGACAAAAGCAUGCGAACACCGGCUGUUCGCGAGUUUUGGAUUACAUGAAGAGACUUAACCCAGAUAGCCUUCCCAUGGAGUCAAUCGCAUACUGAAAGACUGUAAGAACUUUGACUCCAUGGCGAUUGAACUAUGCGUAUGGGAUCUGAGCGCUAUUUGCUAAUAAUAUGCCCUCAGAUCCAGGCUAUCUGGGGAUAUGUGAUACGAAUGUAAAAUGUUCGGUAGUUGUGUAAUUAUUUAUUUUUGUGUGUUUUCUGGUAUUUUACUUAAGAUGGCGAUUUGUCUUUGUCCUGGAGAUAAUUGAAUUACUUCUCAAUUAUCUCCAGGGCAGAGGGGAGGAAACCAUAUUGCAUUGUGGGAAAAGUUUGUGCCUGUAUGUCAGAAAUGUCCAUGUGUCCAUCUGCCAUCACAGUCUCCCAUUUGGUCCCCUAGGGGAGUGUCCACCAAGUGGGAGACCUGCAUAAAUACGGGCGGGUAGCCCACAGUAAAGCCAGAUCUUGUUUUACCCUCAAUGCGGAGCUUAGUCUCGUUAUUGGGGAUUUAUUACCGACGACUAGAGACUGACUGCUGGAGCCAAAAGCCGCUUGGUGGAUAUAUGUGUUCGGCGGCUAGCGACGGUUCGUGGAUUUAUGUUCGGGAGUUUGGAACCGCUUACGGAUCCCGUUCGGGAGAUUACCGCUUCCCCUGAUGGUGGUUCGUAUGUAGCAGUCUAUGCGAACGGAGAUAGUGAGAUUGUGAAGGGGGAAGCUUAACUAAACGGUGGUUUCCCUCAUAGGCGCCAGG